rnacentral:rRNA from 1 species
GAGUUUGAUCCUGGCUCAGGACGAACGCUGGCGGCGUGCUUAACACAUGCAAGUCGAACGGAAAGGCCCUGCUUUUGUGGGGUGCUCGAGUGGCGAACGGGUGAGUAACACGUGAGUAACCUGCCCUUGACUUUGGAUAACUUCAGGAAACUGGGGCUAAUACCGGAUAGGAGCUCCUGCUGCAUGGUGGGGGUUGGAAAGUUUCGGCGGUUGGGGAUGGACUCGCGGCUUAUCAGCUUGUUGGUGGGGUAGUGGCUUACCAAGGCUUUGACGGGUAGCCGGCCUGAGAGGGUGACCGGCCACAUUGGGACUGAGAUACGGCCCAGACUCCUACGGGAGGCAGCAGUGGGGAAUAUUGCACAAUGGGCGGAAGCCUGAUGCAGCAACGCCGCGUGCGGGAUGACGGCCUCGGUUGUAAACCGCGUUCGUCCUCGUGACGAAGCGUGAGUGACGGCGAA